GUGGGUAGUUUGACUGGGGCGGUCUCCUCCUAAAGAGUAACGGAGGAGCACGAAGGUUGGCUAAUCCUGGUCGGACAUCAGGAGGUUAGUGCAAUGGCAUAAGCCAGCUUGACUGCGAGCGUGACGGCGCGAGCAGGUGCGAAAGCAGGUCAUAGUGAUCCGGUGGUUCUGAAUGGAAGGGCCAUCGCUCAACGGAUAAAAGGUACUCCGGGGAUAACAGGCUGAUACCGCCCAAGAGUUCAUAUCGACGGCGGUGUUUGGCACCUCGAUGUCGGCUCAUCACAUCCUGGGGCUGAAGUAGGUCCCAAGGGUAUGGCUGUUCGCCAUUUAAAGUGGUACGCGAGCUGGGUUUAGAACGUCGUGAGACAGUUCGGUCCCUAUCUGCCGUG
rnacentral:rRNA from 2 species